CACUCAGGUGGCUUAGUGGUUAGAGCGUCUGCCUCGGAUGCGAGAGUUCAUAUGUUCAAUCCCCAGUCGAGUCA